UGAGGAAUAUUGGGCAAUGCCCGGAAGGGUGACCCAGCAACGCCGCGUGGAGGAUGAAUGCCGUAAGGUUGUAAACUCCUGUUAGGGGGGACGAAUCGUUCCGAUAGGCUCGGAACUUGACAGUACCCUCAGAGAAAGCCCCGGCUAACUACGUGCCAGCAGCCGCGGUAAUACGUAGGGGGCAAGCGUUGUCCGGAUUUACUGGGUGUAAAGGGCGCGCAGGCGGAUUAGCAAGUCAGAGGUGAAAUCCUACAGCUUAACUGUAGAACUGCCUUUGAAACUGUUAAUCUUGAGUACGGAAGAGAGAGAUGGAAUUCCAGGUGUAGUGGUGAAAUACGUAGAUAUCUGGAAGAACACCAGUUGCGAAGGCGGUCUCUUGGUCCGUUACUGACGCUCAGGCGCGAAAGCGUGGGGAGCAAACAGGAUUAGAUACNCUGGUAGUCCACGCUGUAANCGAUGAAUANUAGGUGUUGUGUCGUAAGAUUCAGUGCCGCAGCUAACGCAUUAAG
rnacentral:rRNA from 1 species